UUUUAAAGCCUGGAAGAUUUAUUUCAGCAAACAGAUUUAGAAGUGAAAGACCCCCAGAGCAGGGAGAUCCUCACUCAAGUCCCGGGAUGACUUGACCCCCCAAGAACUCACGUAAGACC
rnacentral:pre_miRNA from 14 species